rnacentral:rRNA from 1 species
AUAUCAAUAAGCGGAGGAAAAGAAACCAACAGGGAUUGCCUCAGUAACGGCGAGUGAAGCGGCAAAAGCUCAAAUUUGAAAUCUAGCACCUUCGGUGUUCGAGUUGUAAUUUGAAGAUGGUAACCUUGGGUUUGGCUCUUGUCUAUGUUCCUUGGAACAGGACGUCAUAGAGGGUGAGAAUCCCGUCUGAUGAGAUGCCCAUUCCUAUGUAAGGUGCUAUCGAAGAGUCGAGUUGUUUGGGAAUGCAGCUCUAAGUGGGUGGUAAAUUCCAUCUAAAGCUAAAUAUUGGCGAGAGACCGAUAGCGAACAAGUACAGUGAUGGAAAGAUGAAAAGAACUUUGAAAAGAGAGUGAAAAAGUACGUGAAAUUGUUGAAAGGGAAGGGCAUUAGAUCAGACUUGGUGUUUUACGAUUAUCUUCUCUUCUUGAGUUGUGCACUCGUAUUUCACUGGGCCAGCAUCGAUUCGGAUGGCAAGAUAAUGGCAGUUGAAUGUGGCUUCACUUCGGUGG